AUGCGCGCCGCCGGGGCCGCGCCCGACAGGUUCCUCCUCUCAAUGGUGCUCCGGGCCUGCGCCCGCGCGGACGCGCCCCGCCUUGCCGCCGCAGCGCACGCGCUCGCCGCCAAGGGCGGGCCCGCACUCACCGACGACGCCGUGGUAGGGAACGCUGUCGUCGCCAUGUACGAGGCGCUCGGGGACGUCCGCGCCGCGCGCGCAACGUUCGCGUCGCUCCCCGAGCGCGACGUCGUGGCAUGGACCGCUCUCGUGGGCGCCUACGCCAACGCCGGGGAGCUGGGCGAGGCCUUCUAG
rnacentral:rRNA from 1 species